rnacentral:rRNA from 1 species
UGGGGAAUAUUGCACAAUGGGCGAAAGCCUGAUGCAGCGACGCCGCGUGAGGGAUGACGGCCUUCGGGUUGUAAACCUCUUUCAGUAGGGACGAAGCGCAAGUGACGGUACCUGCAGAAGAAGCACCGGCUAACUACGUGCCAGCAGCCGCGGUAAUACGUAGGGUGCAAGCGUUGUCCGGAAUUACUUGGCGUAAAGAGUUCGUAGGCGGUUUGUCGCGUCGUUUGUGAAAACCAGCAGCUCAACUGCUGGCUUGCAGGCGAUACGGGCAGACUUUAGUACUGCAGGGGAGACUGGAAUUCCUGGUGUAGCGGUGGAAUGCGCAGAUAUCAGGAGGAACACCUGUGGCGAAGGCGGGUCUCUGGGCAGUAACUGACGCUGAGGAACGAAAGCGUGGGUAGCGAACAGG